CAUGAAAAAUAAACACUUUUUGCUUGUAUCUGUUUGUUUUCUAUGGGCACACUUGCAUUGUUUGAUUCAAUAAAGUCGUCUCCUUUUUGAGCUUGCAGAUAGUUGGCAUCUAGUUAAAUUAUGGGAAUAGCCAAAAGAUCACUUUAGUUAAAGUGUUAUUUUGGUAUAUCAUUAGUAUGGCUUGAUGUAUGGAUGUGUGUUGUCUUGGGAAUUCCACGCUUUUAAGAAACUUGUAGUGAAAUGGCGUCCUAAGAAUGGAUAUGGUCUUAGGCCAAUUUGGCGCUGAAUAUUUACUUAUGUCUGACAGAAAUUAGUAACGCAUGAGCGUAAAAUGGGUACUUUUCUUAAUUUGUCAAGAGCUGUUGUCCGACAGAUAUCCAUGUCAUUAGUACUUAUUCUAAUGUAAAGUUCACUCGAAAAGGUAAUCAUCGAAGGCAUGGCAAGGUGGCAGAAUGGCAGUUAGCUUCAUGGGCUCUGCUCAAUCAGGAUCUUGUAGAGAAGCCAGGACGCAAGAAUCCAGACACAGCACAUCACCCUCUAGGAAACAGUAUCUUAAGGCUUCUUGAGUAGCAGCGCUGAGAAUUGUCUGGGCUGUGGGAAGACUAGCGGCAGCCUAAUCUUGUGGAAGUUGGGCUCCAGGACCGUCCAGGUAAGGUGGAGUUAGCUUGCAUUGGAGUGGGGGGCACCGGGUGAUACAAAGUUUGCAUGGGAUCCAAGGACACCGACAGAAUUACUCCCUUCGGCCCUAUAAGAAUACAUGGAAUGUGUGAUCAGUUAGAGAAGGCUGCUGCAUCCUGAUGUGGGAAUACACUCGCAGAUGCAUGACUGCAGUUGCCACUGAGAAGAACUUGAGCACUAUGGUCUAGGAAUAUCCAUGCCUUCCCUUUGAUGAUUAGCUUUUUGGGUGGGGGAAUAUUAUUACCAGAACCAUCUAUAUGUGUCAAACAAAAAAAAUCAUAGUCUAGGGUCGCUAAUAGCUAAGGUCUGUGGACAUUUUAUGCACAUGAAACCCUCUUUGAAAUGAUGGUAGGUGCAGGAUUAUUGAUGACUAGUGUGUGAUAUCAUUAUGCUGCUGUCUAAUGUACUUUACUCUAAUAUAGAAAUAUUCUUUUGACAUAUGCAUAAUGUCCUUAGCUAGUCAAUGUGGGGCCUAACAGAAAAGACAGAUAUUAUCUUAUUACAUGAUUGACUGAGAUAAAUUUACCUCAACAGGGUUUUCCUUAUCAUUAUUAAUUUUUUGGCUCUGUUCACGUUCAGUUCUUUUGCCUUCAACCCCUGUAAGGCUGUAACAGCUUUUGCAUAGAGUACUAGAUUACACCAUUGCAUGCUGAGAUCGAUUCGUGGUGGCCUGAUGCUUCAAGACGUUUUGCGGUGGCCAAUCAUGAAAAGGUUAAUUCCUUAAUCAUGCUGAGCCUUUGACUGGAGAUAAAUUAUUGCAUCUUCGAAGACAAGCGCGCUCCUGCUAGCUCUGUUUUGAGCAUGCCCCUUGAUGAGGGGCACGCGUGGGUGGCUUGUAGAGGUGGGCAGCCGAGAGCAAUAGAGUAGCCCUGGCUUGUCUUUGAGCCCCCAAAGUGGUGGCGUUUUGGGUGGUCUUUUUUCAGGUUCUGCAUUGACCUCUUUUCUCUCUUUUUUCUUGUUCUGUUGUCGUUUUGUUUUGGACAUCUUGGUCCUGCCUUUGAGCUGAAUACAAUGACGUGCAGCUCUCCUACGGGUUCUAAAGAAAAAAGUACUAGAUUACACAUGCAUUGUAUGUAUAUAUAACGUUGCCAAUCUUCAGUUUAACCCGUUUUUCUACAGGGGAGAACACCAUCUGAAUCAGAUUGGAUGGAUAAGCCAGAGCAGGAGUGCUCUUCGCGAGCCAAAAUGAGUUUUGUCCCUAGAACAUGUGGUACCUUAUUUGCUUCUUGUGGGCAAUGAUUUUUGUUCCAUGAUGUAAGAAUCCCCAAAGAUGACAGCUGUGGCUACGUGGGAUUAUACAAUCUGAGAUGUUGACCAUGCGAUUACAUCCCAUUUAAGCAGUGAGGUUUAAGCUCUGCCAACCAGCAUCGAUGACAUACAAAGUGAUCUGUUGAAGCUACAAUAAAUAUGCUCCCGUCAUCAUAGAUAAUUGUUUCACCAUAUGCAGCAUCCUCAUUUGGGCCUCUUUGUUUAGAAAGAUUUCUGUUUUACUUUUGGAGGCUUGGAAUCCUUAUGAAUCUUUUCUACUACUAGCUCCAUUCCGAUUUAAUGACUGCGAGUAGUAGCACACUAGCACCACAAGUGAGUAUGUACGCAAGUUGUUUCCACUGAAUGGCGUUUGAUUUAAAUCGGAACAGACAAUAGAGGUACUAUUUGUUA